UGGGGAAUAUUGGACAAUGGGCGCAAGCCUGAUCCAGCAAUGCCGCGUGGGUGAAGAAGGUCUUCGGAUUGUAAAGCCCUUUCGGCGGGGACGAUGAUGACGGUACCCGCAGAAGAAGCCCCCGGCUAACUUCGUGCCAGCAGCCGCGGUAAUACGAAGGGGGCUAGCGUUGCUCGGAAUCACUGGGCGUAAAGGGCGCGUAGGCGGCUCUGUUAGUCAGGCGUGAAAUUCCUGGGCUCAACCUGGGGACUGCGCUUGAUACGGCGGGGCUUGAGGAUGGAAGAGGCUCGUGGAAUUCCCAGUGUAGAGGUGAAAUUCGUAGAUAUUGGGAAGAACACCGGUGGCGAAGGCGGCGAGCUGGUCCAUUACUGACGCUGAGGCGCGACAGCGUGGGGAGCAAAACAGGAUUAGAUACCCUGGUAGUCCACGCCGGUAAACGAUGUGCGCUGGAUGUUGGGUGGCCUAGCCACUCAGUGUCGUAGCCAACGCGGUAAGCGCACCGCCUGGGGAGUACGGCCGC
rnacentral:rRNA from 1 species